ensembl:snRNA U1 U1 spliceosomal RNA
GAAUAUACCUGGCAGAGGAGAUACCAUGAUCAUGAAGGUGGUUUUCCCAGGGCGAGGCUUAACCCUUGCAGUCUGGGUUUUCCUUUUAUUUUCCCCAGAUGUGGAAGACUGGACUGCAUAAUCUGUGGUAGUGGGGGACUGUGUUGGCACUCUCCCCUG